UACGUAGGAGGCAAGCGUUGUCCGGAUUUACUGGGCGUAAAGCGCGUGUAGGCCGUUCGGUAAGUCGGGUGUGAAAUCCCUGGGCUCAACCCAGGAACUGCGUCCGAUACUGGUUGGCUUGAAUCCGGGAGAGGGAUGUGGAAUUCCAGGUGUAGCGGUGAAAUGCGUAGAUAUUCGGAAGAACACCAGUGGCGAAGGCGACUCGCUGGACAGACAUUGACGCUGAGGUGCGAAAGCGUGGGGAGCAAACAGG
rnacentral:rRNA from 1 species